rnacentral:rRNA from 1 species
AAGAAACCACCACUUAUUGCCUUAGUAGCGGCGAGUGAAGCGGCAAAAGCUCAAAUUUGAAAUCUGGCACUUUCAGUGUCCGAGUUGUAAUUUGAAGAAGGUAUCUUUGGGUCUGGCUCUUGUCUAUGUUUCUUGGAACAGAACGUCACAGAGGGUGAGAAUCCCGUGCGAUGAGAUGACCCAGACCUAUGUAAAGUUCCUUCGAAGAGUCGAGUUGUUUGGGAAUGCAGCUCUAAGUGGGUGGUAAAUUCCAUCUAAAGCUAAAUAUUGGCGAGAGACCGAUAGCGAACAAGUACAGUGAUGGAAAGAUGAAAAGAACUUUGAAAAGAGAGUGAAAAAGUACGUGAAAUUGUUGAAAGGGAAGGGCUUGAGAUCAGACUUGGUAUUUUGUAUGUUACUCUUUCGGGGGUGGCCUCUACAGUUUACCGGGCCAGCAUCAGUUUGGGCGGUAGGAGAAUUGCAAAGAAAUGUGGCACUGCCUCGGUAGUGUGUUAUAGUCUUUGUCGAUACUGCCAGCCUAGACUGAGGACUGCGGCUUCGGCCUAGGAUGUUGGCAUAAUGAUCUUAAGUCGCCC